GUGCCAGCUUCAGCAGCACAUAUACUGAAAUUGGAACAGGAUAGAGAUUAGCAUGGCCCCGGGGCAAAUGACACGCAAAUUCGUAACGCGUUCUCUAUGUUU